AGAGUUUGAUCCUGGCUCAGAGCGAACGCUGGCGGCGCGCUUAACACAUGCAAGUCGAACGCGCAGUUCGGUGUAGCAAUACAUCGGGCGGGCGCGUGGCGAACGGGUGCGUAACACGUGGGCAACCUUCCCUCAUGUGGGGGAUAACCCGCCGAAAGGCGGGCUAAUACCGCAUAACAUUCCGACGGCACCUGCCGUUGGACUCAAAGCUCGCAAGAGCGCAAGAGGAGGGGCCCGCGGCCGAUUAGCUUGUUGGCGAGGUAAUGGCUCACCAAGGCAAUGAUCGGUAGCCGGUCUGAGAGGAUGAUCGGCCACACUGGAACUGAGACACGGUCCAGACUCCUACGGGAGGCAGCAGUGGGGAAUCUUGCGCAAUGGGCGAAAAGCCUGACGCAGCAACGCCGCGUGGGGGAUGAAGCUUCUCGGAGUGUAAACCCCUUUCGACCCGGACGAAUUGCCCGCAAGGGCAUGACGGUACGGGUAUAAGAAGCCCCGGCUAACUACGUGCCAGCAGCCGCGGUAAAACGUAGGGGGCCAGCGUUGCUCGGAAUUACUGGGCGUAAAGGGUCCGUAGGCGGUGUGGCAAGUCGGUAGUGAAAUCUCUGGGCUUAACUCAGAGGCUGCUGCCGAAACUGCUGUGCUCGAGUGCGAGAGAGGCGAGUGGAAUUGCGGUGUAGCGGUGAAAUGCGUAGAUAUCUGCAGGAACAUCCGAGGCGAAAGCGGCUCGCUGGAUCGCAACUGACGCUGAGGGACGAAAGCUAGGGGAGCAAACAGGAUUAGAUACCCCCGUAGUCC
rnacentral:rRNA from 1 species